rnacentral:rRNA from 1 species
CAGAACUAUGUCUGGAAGUGGCACACUGCUCAGUAACACGUAGCUAACCUACCCUUAGGACGUGGAUACCCCCGAGAAAUUGGGGUUAAUCCGCGAUAGAUGUAAUGUCCUGGAAUGGUAUUACGUCUAAAGGUAUUUCAUACAUGUUUGAAAUAUGCCUAAGGACGGGGCUGCGGCCGAUCAGGCUGUUGGUGAGGUAAUGGCUCACCAAACCUUUGACCGGUACGGGCCAUGAGAGUGGUAGCCCGGAGAUGGACACUGAGACAAGGGUCCAGGCCCUAAGGGGCGCAGCAACCGCGAAACCUCCACAAUGCACUCACGUGCGAUGGGGCUAUCUCGAGUGCCACCUGAUGAAGGUGGCUUUUCCUAGGUCUUCAAAGCCUUGGGAAUAAGAGGGGGGCAAGACUGGUGUCAGCCGCCGCGGUAACGCCAGCCCCUCGAGUGGUGGGGAUGAUUAUUUGGCCUAAAGCGUCCGUAGCCGGCCGAGUAAGUCUUCCGUUAAAUCCAACGUCUCAAGCGUUGGACCGCGGGAGAUACUACACGGCUAGAGAGUGGGAGAGGUCAGCGGUAUUCUGGGGGUAAGGGCGAAAUCUUUUGAUCCCCGGAGGACCACCAGUGGCGAAGGCUGCUGACUAGAACACGUCUGACGGUCAGGGACGAAAGCUGGGGUAGCGAACCAGAUUAGAUACCCGGGUAGUCCCAGCCGUAAACGAUGCAUGCUAGGUGUUGGGUUGGCCACGAGCCACCCCAGUGCCGCAGGGAAGCCGUUAAGCAUGCCGCCUGGGAAGUACGAUCGCAAGGUUGAAACUUAAAGGAAUUGGCGGGGGAGCACCACCAGGCGUGAAGCCUGCGGUUUAAUUGGAGUCAACGCCGGG